rnacentral:tRNA from 1 species
UCCCAGGUGGCUCAGAUGGUAAAGAAUCUGCCUGCAAUACAGGAGGUCCAGGUUCAAUCCCUGGGUGGGGAA